CCUGCUCCUCCUCUGUCACAACACAAUGUGUGGCAGGGCAGGUCGCGUGCCUAAGCCAGCCGCGGCGCCCUUCCGGCAGCCGCAAUGCCUCGACCGCCCUCCCCUUCUCGCCAGUGGUUUGCCCGACGCCAUUGGACGGACUGGAUUCCGGGUGGGCGACGAGGAAGCGGCUAGCCUCGGCCGUCGGCCACGACCGUGAAGCUCGGGAGAUCGGCUCACCGUGCCGUCGCGGACCGAGACCCGGGGCGACAAAAUGUAGCACCAAACAACGCGAAUCCUGGGGUCGCCGUGCCUGGCGCCAUGGCAGCAAGGAUUACAGAUGGAUGUAUAUAAAGAUUAUAUGAAUGGCGAUUCUUGGAGCAGUGGAUUCAUGCACGAUAUUGAUUGAUACGACAGUGGCUUUAUCUCCGUAGCUGAUCUAAGAAAACACUUUUGCAGUUCAGCUUUUCUUGCCUAGAUUUCAGUCUCUUCAUCAGCUUGUGCUGACAAAGAUAAAAUGGAACCAGGUUUUAUUCAAGAUUGUAGGUCAUGGAUAUAUAUAUAUCUAUGGUGGAUAAAGAAAUAUUUACCUGCACAUCCAUUCUCAAUGUAUGGAUUCCCACUGUAUCCCGCAUUGCACUUGCAGAGAUAGCCCGCUCCAC